rnacentral:lncRNA from 1 species
CACAACUGAUCGAGGGCUAACCAUCGGAGGUCCCUUCUCCCGGCGUUCGAGUUCAUCCAGCUUGAAAGUAAUCAAUCGAUCCCAAUUCCCACCUUCAAAAAGCACCCCGGCCUUUCCAUCAGUAAUCCUUUGCACAAUCCCACAAUACAUGUGGUAAGGACUGUUUGGAUUCUUGACAAUUGCGAUCAUUCCAGGCAUCAACAAUGGCAAUUCCGGCGCUUUUGGUUUCCGGACCAAGCUCCCAUUAAAACCUGAUGUUGUUGUUGAUGGUGGUGGUGGCUUUUUAGGAGGUGGGUUCUUCUCAAUGAAAUCUCUGAGACCCUUUUCACCACCUGGGAAUCCGCCUGUUAGGCCUAAUAGCUCCUUGUCAAAUCCAUCUUCAGGUAUAAUUGAUGUGGCAAGAUCUUCUUGAUCGGAGGUAGUAGUGGGUGGCGGUGGUGAUCUUUCCGGUGGGGGCUUUUUCAGUUCCUGUUGAAGGCCUUCUUCUCCAUUACAUAACCCUCUGCCUCCCAAGAUUUCGUAAAGAUUGAAUUUUGCAGAUGGGUUUAUGAUUUGAUGUGAUGAUUGUUUUGAUGAUUUGUGAGAGUGAGUGAGAUUGAUGAACUGGGUUUGGCCGAGAAACUGAGAUUUGUGAAGGAGAGGACCUUGAAGAGUUGGGAGAUUGAAGGAAGUAGCCAUUUUUUAGCCUUUGAGAAAGAGGAGAGAAAGAAAGCGAACUCAAAGGUAAAGAGUGAAAUGACUUCAAUGGAUGCCAGCCACAAGUUCUAGUUGGAUGAUAGUUUUGCUAUCUUAUGUGGCUUUUAGUAAGAAUUUAGUUCUUUUUCAUUGGUAGAUAAAAGAUAUAUCAAAUUCUAGAUCCAUUCAUUCCUAUAAAACGUGUCAUUUAGAGCUCUAAUUUAUUGCAUAAAAUUGAAGAAUUAAAUCAUAUAGAAACCGGGUUAAAUGAGGGCGAAAGAAAAAAAAAAUGUUUGAUGAACCAAUUCAUACUCGGGGCAUCUUCAGUAAAACUAGUUGGUAACGGUAAUUGGUAGCGGGUAGCUAGUAGCUAAGUAGCGUUUAAUUUUGGAGCGUUUCGUUUGGGUUAAAAGCUAAACGUUAUUGUCGAUGAACGAGGUUUUUUCUUUUGUACUAGCAUUUUUUUAAAAGACAGAAGUCAGAAGCUCACAAACGAUGUGUGUCGAACACAUCCUUAAAAAGUUAAAAUCACAUGUUUUGAUCCAAAAAAAUUAUUUUGACCUAUUUUGUCACAUCUUAUUCAUAUUACACGGUCUUGAUGGGGUUCAAAUGGAUAAGAUUUCUUCUUAUGGUUUUGACAAAAGAAGAUUAAUAACCAAUAUUUUUACGGCUACGGUGAUAAAUUUUUGAUAACAUUUAAACUUUGUAACUAUUAGCUUUUGUUUGGGAAAAAAUUAAAUUAUACUAUAUAAUAAGAAUUAACGUCGGUGGUGUUUUUACUUGGCAAUGUAUAUUCCAUCCAGCCAAACCCAAGAGCUUGUCGUUGUCACAGUCGUUCUCCUUCAACGGUGUUCACCACUGUCAUCCUCCUACGACUUUUUGGUUAACUACUCUCGCAAAGUAUGUUUUCUAUCUGAAUCUACAGUAACCUUUAUUGUUUUUAUUCUGUAUUUAAUGCAAUUUUCACUAUCAUUUGGGGAAAAUCAGAAAAAUCCGUUGCAGAUGAUGUUUUCCUUCAUGGUUUUCCAUUUACUAGUUUGUCUUCAAGGAUAACUCUACAUUAAUGUUGUAACAGCGUCAUUUAGGUUUCCAUUUUGUAGAUGAAACAAUAUUUUUAAUCUUCUGAAAACUUACAUUUUGCCUAUUACUCUUGCUUAUAAUAUAUUUAGUACCAACAAUUUCAUCAGAGUAUUUUUAGGUUCCUAUAUUGCUCCUAAUUAUAACAUUGUACUUAAUAACAAAAAUAAAAUUUUGUACUUUUUUCAAACAUUCCUUUGAAACAAACCAGUGAGACAAUUACUAUAAAAAACUCAUUAUUUGAAAAUUUUGCUAUUUCGGAACAUGUUAUGUAAUUUUUUUUGGUUGUGUGACUUAUGUGUGUUAAGUGUGUGGUGAGUGUAAUUUCAAAACCUAAAAGUUUUUAUUUUAAACAUAAUGUACAAAUAAAACAACAAUUUCAAUCAUUUUGAGAACUUUUUAGUUUUAACUUAUAUGUAUUAGGUCAUUUUCAUUUUUUUAAAGGGUUAAGAACUUGUAAGCAAAUCAGAAACGAUACCUUCCAACUUCCGACUAUAACCGCGACUAACUCUAAGGCAAUCAACAAUGGUUGCGCAAGGCAUCGUGUAAGGGUUGUGUGGCACCCAACCCUAUAUAUGAACAUCGCCCCACAUAUUCGUAGUCAUGAUGUGGCGUGAGAUGAGUGUAACGAUUAUGUGACCUUUGAAGCGCUUGACAAAAAAUAAUAAUAAUAAUAUGUAACAUCCAUAAAAUCAUGUCAAAAUUGAACUUUUUCAAAACAUUUCAAAACCAUUAAUUAUUACAAAACUUGUUUUCAAAAUAGUAUAAUAUCAUCCCAGAAAACAGUCAUAAACAUGAGGAGAUGUACGAUCACGUCUUUGCCUUCCCGCAAUCAUCUGAUGUACCUGAAACUGUAAGCCCAAAGCUUAGUGAGUUCCUCCAAAAUACCUAUACACACAACACUAUACAUAUAAUCACGAACAACAUACUACGGGUCCAGUCAACCAUCGGGUUGGAAUACCCAGGCCUUCAACCAUCCGGUUGGAAUGCCAACAUACUAUGGGUCCAAUCAUCCUCGGGAUGGAAUACCCCAGGCCACAACCAACAGGUUGGAAUGCCCACAUACUAAGAGUCCAAUCAUCCUCGGGAUGGAAUACUCAUGACCCACAGCCAUCGGGUUGGAAUGCUCAGGUCUAUUGGCUUUCGCACAAAGCAGAUAAGCCUCAACCACCAAUCAAACAUGUGCACAUAUAAAAAAUAACCACAUAACAGUCUAUAGACAAACAAACCGAUCUAACAAAUCAUAACCACAUAUAACAUCCUAUCUAUGUUGGAUUAGUGUCUAAGUCCAUAACUAUUUUGGUAUGUACUUGAUACGAUGGUGCAUGGUCCUUUUGGGUUGCCUUCACCAAAGCAACUUGAUUGGAGAAAUAAAUAAAGAGAGAGGUUAUUAUGAUUUAUUAAUAUGUUAUAAGAAUAAUAUAUUAAAGGAUAAAUCAUAUUUGUUUAAUUAAUAUUGGUCAAUAAUUAAUUAAGAAUUAAUUUUGUGAUCAAGUGUAAUUAAUUAAACUAGAGGGGCUGAAUUGUAAUUAUGUGAUAGUUACAAAAUAAGGUAAGGAUUAUCUUAUAUAUAUGGUGNNNNNNNNNNNNNNNNNNNNNNNNNNNNNNNNNNNNNNNNNNNNNNNNNNNNNNNNNNNNNNNNNNNNNNNNNNNNNNNNNNNNNNNNNNNNNNNNNNNNNNNNNNNNNNNNNNNNNNNNNNNNNNNNNNNNNNNNNNNNNNNNNNNNNNNNNNNNNNNNNNNNNNNNNNNNNNNNNNNNNNNNNNNNNNNNNNNNNNNNNNNAUCCUCUCUCCUCUUCAUCCUCUUGCUUAUGGUGUUUGUGAGCCAUUAGAGGAUUGACACUUGUUACUCUAAGCCUUCCAAAGUCAAUUCAAGGAGGAAUUAGGAUUGUUAUUGCUACAUAACAAUCAAGGUAAUAUCAUACACCUAAUUAUAUGUUAAUAUCGAUUUCCAUAUGCUAGAAUUAGGGUUUAUAGUCUUGGAUUCAAAGCAUGUACAAUAGAGAAACCUAGAUCCAAGCAUUAGGGUUUGUAUGAGCACAUAGGAUGUCUUAUGACCAAAACCCAUUAGUGGUAUCAGAGCCUAGCUUGGUUUCAAUUGUAUUGAUGCAUUGUAUAUCUGGAAAAUUCGUUUUUUGGGUUUCUGGAGGCUGGACUCGCCGAGUCCAUAGCUGAACUCGCCGAGUCCAAGGUGACUCGACGAGUCCAGGCUUGACUCGACGAGUCAACUCGUCAGAUGGAGGUUAUCUCGGGAUUUCUUGCUGUUUUUGCAUUGGGAUAGUUACCUUAUCAUGUUAGAUCAAUAUUAAUCCGAUUUUAUGAUAUAUUUGACUAUAUUUUUGAUCUAAUUGAAGAUAUUUAUCAAUUAAUAAGAUAAUUGUUUCCUUAUGUGAUAAUUGAUUAAUUAUUUUGACUAAAUUGAUAAAUUGUUUUGCAAGAAAUCAUUAAAUAAAUCAAAUAUGGAUAAUUAUGUGAUUAAAUGUUAAUUUAGAUUAUUUGUUAUUUGAUCCUUGUUGUUAUGAAAAGUUUCAUAUUUUCCCCUUUAGGUUUUAUAGUUUAAAUUUGAACCCAAAAGUUUUGUUGUUUUGAAAUUUAAAUAGUUGAAACCCUAAUGUUUUGAAAAAGGUUUCAAAACUUGCCCUCAAGUUUUGGAAUUUAAAUUUUGAUUAAAUGGUUUAAUUUUGAUGUAUAUUUAAAUUCUAAACCCUAAUGUGUUGAAAUGUUUCAAAACUUGCCCUCAAGUUUUGGAAUUUAAAAGUUGAUUAAAAGUUUAAUUAGGAAUGUUAAAUUCUAAAACUCUAGUAUAGUUUUGAAAAAGUUCAAAUCACACCCUUAUGGUUUUAUUAAUUAAUUAAGGUGUAUAAUUAAAAGAGGUUUAAUAAAUCCAUAAAAGUUUAGGUUUACAAUUUAAUUGAAUUAAAAGUAUAAUUGUUAAAUUUGACCACCUAGUAUUUUAAAAGUGUAAAAUACACCCUAUACUAUAUAUAACAUUAAAAGUCUAACAUUAUAUAUAUGUAUGAGUAAAAGUCAGUCUUACCGUUAGUAGGCCUCAUUCACGAAGCUGGUCUAUAAGGGGUGUUUAAGGAAAUUGCCUAUAAAAUGGCGAUUGAAUGGGUAUCCACUCUUACCCACCGCACUCUUGACUAGUGGAGGGUCGUUAGCCGAACGGGUAGGAUAGGACGAAACCUUCCAUUAUAAGUAUAAUGAAGUAUAAAAGUAACUAAAUGUUUUCAUAAAAUUCCCAAUCUUAGUUACUUAGGCAAAAGUGAAUUGAUGCAAUUCCAUGAAAUUACACUUUGUGCCCUUGCGAAGACGUUAGUGGAGCGUGUGUGGUUUACCGGCACACUAAAUGGUUCUAAGCAAAGGUAGCAAAGGGUGACUCAAUGUUUGUCAUAGUUCGGUGGAGCGUGUGUGGUUUACCGGCACAUCGAAUAGGUGACUGUAACAUGUGAGGGCACCAUGUAAGUUUGCAUGGUUAUUCACACCCGCUUUGUGAUCCUCGGCAUCCCAGUCACAAACAAGAGGGGCAUAUCGAGAUUUAAACAUGCCAUUGAAAUGUUCAAUGAAUCUCAAAGGAUCUAGGAGUUUUCAUAGAUUUAAAACUUAAAUUUCUUUUUCGUUUUUCAUGGUGGAAAUUAGUGAAUCGUCAUUCACUUACCUUCAAAUGUUCUGCAAUUUGGGUUACGGCAUCCCUCUCCCGAGUUGUAGAAUAUUGUGUUGGGUCCUAGCCUUAGUAUCUCAUUUGGGUGAUUUACUAAGGACUCAAUCAAUCAACUAACUUGAAUUCGUUUUCUCCCGUUUUGUAGAUGUCAAAGUUCGACAACUAUGGUCUUCCCAAAUCCCGUGGAACAAGCAUUCCACAUGAAGAUGAUAUUCCACGAUUCGAUCGAGGAACAAGAAAUCAUGCUUCACUUCCUCCACCUCCUCCAAUUAUUCUCCCUAACCCACAAGUUCAAAGGCUUGAAAAGUUCAAGAUCACUCAAGCCCUUUUGGCAAGUAAACAUAAAGAAGGAAAGUCGGUGUGUGCACACGUCCUAGGGAUGAAGUCACACAUUGAUAGGUUAAGAAUGUUGGGAUCCGUUGUCUGUGAGGAAAUGGCUGUUGAUUGGGUUCUUCAGUCACUUCCUAACUCAUAUAGUGAGUUCGUAAGAGAGUACUAUAUGAUGAACCACGACGUGACCCUUAUAGAUCUCACCUAUAUGCUUAUUGCUGCUGAAUCAGCAAUGGUUUGGCGCAAUAGAAAAGCAAAGUUGAUUGGUGAAUCUGCCUUCAAGACCUCUAUGGAUAUAGACAAUGGCAACGAAAGACAUGCUAUGAUCGAAAAGUUUGAUCAUAAGAGAAAGGCAAUGUCUGAAGUAGUUCCAUGUCAUGUUCCAAAAGAGUCAAUUUGCUUUUAUUGCCAAGAGAAAGGGCAUUGGAGACGAAGCUGCCCCAUUUACCUAAGAGAUCUAAGAGAUGGGAGAGUCGAAACGUAUGGCUCUAAUAUAGGUAAAAUCCAUUAACUAACUCUUUUAAGCUUCUAUUCUAGAUUCUUAAUACAUAAUGUGAUAAGAUUACAAUUGAUGUUUUGUAGGAUCGAAGAAAAGAAAGGAAGCUUAAGGGAAGAAGUGAGCAGAAUCUAACCGUGAAGGAAUGGAUUUCGAUCGCAUUUCUCGAAGAUUAGAUUCUUGAGCUACUACUUAGAGUUAGAAUUAGAUUGCUAAGAAAGAUGUAUUAGCAUAAGUUUUUCAAUGAGUUGCAUUGUAAGGACAAAUUUUUCCGCAAUAAAAUAAAUUUUGAUUUUAAAUUUUAUUUAUUUAUCCUUACAAUGGCGUGUAUGAAAAAUUGAUGUUAAAAUGUUUCUAUUAUUAGCAAUAAUGGAUUUGGUUCUUAUUAUGUUAUUUAUGGAAAGUCGAGAAUUUACCAAAUAGGGAGAGUUUCUCAUCGCCCAAGUUUCAAUUGGACAGAAACUUGGAAUCAUGCAACUUGGUUGCACGAUGAAUGAGAAAUUUCAUAUUUGGAAAUUAGACUAAUUCAUUGACAAAGUGUCAAGUGAAGGACUAGGAGAUCGAGUACACAAAGUUGCGUGUUGAUCAAGUCCACCAUAAGAGUAACAAAGAUAUUCGUCAUGAUUUACUAAAGGUUUAGUAAAUAUGAUUAUACUUAUAAGAUUAAGUGUAAUUCUGAAUUGAUUGAAAAGGUUUAAAUCAAUAGCAGAACGAAUAAGAAGAAUCAAGUAGGCAGAAAGAUAAAAGUUUCUCCAUUCUAAGAAGAAGGGAGAGUACCUUUUAUGCUUUAUGAUAGGUCUUAAUGAUUAAGAACCAUAUCUCAAUUGAUCCUCUAAGUGAGUCUUAGUACAAUUGUAUGUCUAAGAAGAGGAAUCAAGAAUUGAAGAAAUGGUUAAAUCAAUAAGUCAAUCAUACUUCGUUCCAAUAACAAGUCUUAAAGUUAAGAUUGUGACAUUGAGUGAAAGGUAUUAAGAAGGUUUAUAACAUUCAUUAAAUGUGGAAAGUUGUGAUGUCUUGGAUAAGACAAAGACCAACUAGGACCAAUUUAUGAAGUGUUUUGAUAAAAGCUACACUAACUCUUGAAUAUUUGUUUGUCAAGAAAUGGUUAUUGACAAGAGAAUCUUAUAUGUCAAGGAGUCAGUGGGAGUCUUAAUGGUCUUGAAAGGUUUCAAGAACAAAUCAAAUAAACCUUAUCGAUCAUCACUAGCACACGAGUUGAGGUUUACAACCUAUCGUGUUGACAUUAUUUUGAUUCUGUGCCAAUCCAAUCGAGUUAAUUAUGCAUGUGAGUUCUAUGAGUUCUCAUUUUGAACGCAUAAAAGGCAAAGCACCUUAAUCAAUGAAAGGUACAUUGAUAGGAAAAGGUGAGCUGCUUAACUACUUGGAAGACAUGGUGGGCAGCUGUGCUACCAUAAGGCAAGAAAUCAAGAUUAAGAAAGUUCGGUCCAUAUGAGUUUGAAUUUGUCGUAAACUUUGGUUUUAACAAAUUCACAUGGAUAGGAACACAUACACCGUUUAAAUCUAAGUGUCAUAAGAUUUCCUCCUUCAUGAAAAUGAUUGUGAGGAAAUGCUUUCACUAAGAAAGAUUUUAAGAAGAUAGUGAUUGUAAAAUUGCAUUCUCGAAUUCAAUUAUGGUUACGGCAUCCCUUUCCAUAAUUUGAAUUGUGAGGUUUGGCAAUUAGUCUUAAUUGUUUAGACACACAUAUGAACUAUCGAAGGCAAAGGUGUAUAAGUUCAAGAAGCAUUGAUAAAGGAUUAUCAAAGCACUAAGUAUUAGAAACAUGAACUUAAGAAAUUCAAUAAGUAUUGUUUUCUGAAAGUUAAGAUGUUUAUGAAUACAUGUCGAAGCUAGUGGGAGCAUAAGUGUUAUGUUUUAUAAUAAUCAUCAUGAUAGUGGGAGCAUAAAUGUUAUGAUUGUAUGAUUAUUAAGGAAAGUAUUGCAAGGUUAGCAAUAUUAAUUAUAGAAAACAAGAGUCAUACUUUGCAAAGUUGUAAGAGUUGAAAAGUUGUUUUGCUAUAAUUAAGGGAGAGAAUAUUAUGCUUCAUUUCAAAUCUAAAGGAUUAGGUUGAGAAAUGUUAAUAAAUUUAGUCAAAGGUACAUAGUGUGUUCUUAAAAUUUCGAUUAUGAUUACGGCAUCCCUCUUCACAAUUCGAAUUUUGAGAACAUAGCAAAUAAAACAUUAUGCGUCGUGUCCCAUACGCUUCGGGUAUAGGAUCGAUUGCAAAUGCUUUAAUGUUUGACCAUUCUAAAAUUUUCCAAAUGUCGAGCGCAUUUAGAGGGAAAAGGGACUAGAAUUGGUUUUGACUAAAAUAAUUAAACAACUAUCAAAGGACAAUCCAAAGUUCGACGAGGAUUGGUCGCUUGUGAGUAGUUGGAAGUAUAGUAUUGGAAAAUAUGGAAAUGUUUCCAUAUUGGAUGGACCAUAUCGACAUCAUUACGAAUAGAUAAGAUUCUAUUAAGAAUGAGUUGUCAUAUGGAACAUAUGGAAGUGUGUCCAUAUUGGGAAUUGAAUAUUGAGAAAUCUAUGACUAGAUUAGAAACUUCUAUGCAAAAGGAUGUUCAAAGAAUGUACUUUGAGUGAGAGACAUCACAUCUAUGGAAUUGUCUUGUAACAAUCUCCGAUAGAGGACUUUGUAAUAUCAUUGGCAAUAGUCUUUGUGACUUUGGUGCAGUGACAUUACGAAAGGAUAGUUGCAUAGAAUGUUAGAAUCUAGCAUAUUCUAUAAGUAGCAAGAAUUUGAUAUUCUUUCACUUAUGAAAAAGGAUUUGGAGUUGUGAAAUGAGAAUGAUUGGAAAUGUGUUCAAUUUGAUCUAUUUCACAAAGUAAGAACCAUAGGUAAACAUUGUGUGCAUGCUAGGAGCAUGGGACAAGUGUAAUAAUUCAAGUAAGAAGUUGAUUACCCGAAACGACAAAUAAUGAGUAAUCGAUAUGGUGAUAAAUAAAAGGUGUUUUAUUUAUACUCAAAGGUUUGAGGCCAUAUGGGAUUAGUAUUAUUCUUGUGUUUCACAUUUGCAUGUUUUGACUUCCAGAAUAAUUGAGUUUAUUAAGAAUAAUCGAAUUAUUCGAACGGGCCACAGUCGUUCAUAUGUUGGAAGUAGAUAUGAAUGAAGACUGUCGUGAAUUGGUGUGUGGAUUGUCUAAAAGAGUAUUAGACAUAAGCAAAUGUUUGCUGCAACGUUCAUGAGUGCUUAUGAAUAUGAUUUGAGCAUUGGAUUAAACCCACGCUCACUUGGAUCACUCCAUGAAUUGUAUCACGAGUGAUUGGUGAGACGAUAACAUCUUAUAUUCUUGAAACCGAGAUGUGUGAGUUGUAUCUUGCAAAUCGGUUGCACAUUGAUAAUAUGUAAACGCACUAGUAACUUGGUGUUAUAAAACAUAUUGUUGUGUGUGAUUCGGUGCGUGAGUACAAGCAAGCAUUGUAUCAAAGUUUAUCCGUUCCUUUUAUCCAAAGUAGGAUAAAAGCGAUAUCUUUGGGCCCCUCGAUGGUUUAGUGAUGACAAACGUAAAUGCUCGGCCGGGCUAGGGCUAAUUUGAUUUGUUCAAUUAGUCAGUCGUCAUAAAUCGGAAUCGAGAUAUAGUACAAAGAGAAUGAUUUGAAAUCAUAUCUCAUAUGAUAUCUAGAAUGGAGGAAUAUAUGAUCCCUUAUCUAAGGACACGCGUAUCUGAUAGGAUCAGAGUUGACAGCGGCUUUGGAAAGCUACGAUUGCAGAUCAGGAUCUGAAGUCAUACGCAGAAUAGUUAUUAGACUUAUCCAAGUGGGAGACUGUUGGAUUAGUGUCUAAGUCCAUAACUAUUUUGGUAUGUACUUGACCCGAUGGUGCAUGGUCCUUUUGGGUUGCCUUCACCAAAGCAACUUGAUUGGAGAAAUAAAUAGAGAGAGAGGUUAUUAUGAUUUAUUAAUAUGUUAUAAGAAUAAUAUAUUAAAGGAGAAAUCAUAUUUGUUUAAUUAAUAUUGGUCAAUAAUUAAUUAAGAAUUAAUUUUGUGAUCAAGUGUAAUUAAUUAAACUAGAGGGGCUGAAUUGUAAUUAUGUGAUAUUUACAAAAUAAGGUAAGGAUUAUCUUAUUAAUAGGUUGGACGAAUUUAAGGUGAUAAGGCCUUAGAAUUCGACUAGGAUAAGGGUUUUCAAGGCUUAUCUUAUGGUUACUUGGUGGACAAGCAACUAGAUAAGGAUAAGGACUAAAACCCUAAUCUCUACACCUAUAUAAAGACCCCCAAGGCUCAUGAAUUCGUCAAUGCCUUCCCAAGAGGGCCUAGAGACGAAUUCUUAUACCUCUUCUCUCUCUCUUUAUACCUUCUCCAUUUGCUCUUGGUGUUUGUAAGCCAUUAGAGGAGUGACACUUGUGACUCUAAGCCUUCCAAAGUCAAUUCAAGGAGGAAUUAGGAUUGUUAUUGCUACAUAACAAUCAAGCUAAUAUCAUACACCUAAUUAUAUGUUAAUAUCGAUUUCCAUAUGCUAGAAUUAGGGUUUAUAGUCUUGGAUUCAAAGCAUGUACAAUAGAGAAAUCUAGAUCCAAGCAUUAGGGUUUGUAUGAGCACAUAGGAUUUCUUAUGACCAAAAACCCAUCAAUCUACUAGGAUACUGAUCUAACGGAUCAUAACAGCAUGUACCAUCCUAUCUACCAGGAUACUGAUCUAACAGAUCAUACAAUACUCAAACAUAUAUCAUAUCAGGAUAACAAUCCAAACGGGUCGGCCUUGGUGCCUUUGACCCUUGAGUAUAAUAAGGAAAACUCACCUCACAACUGUCGAACUGAAGUGAUAAGUUCAAACUCUCAAAUCACCGCCAUGUACUCUGCCGCCUAUAUUUACCAUAGGACCAUAUUCAUAAAUUUCCAAUUUACCAAAAUACCCCAGAAGUCAACUAGUCAACCCUUGGUCAAAGUCCAAGUCAAUGGUCAAGGUGGACGCAGCUGCAACCAUCGUGAAGAUCGGAUGAACCAAGACUCAUAGCCGUUGUGGUUGUUUUCCGGUGGACACACGACCACCAUUUCCUCCGCCGCACCCACUGCAGUUGAAGACGAAGACCGCCUUUGGCUGUUAUGGCAACAGUCGACCGGAAGAAGCUAUCUACAAGUGUCAUCUAUGUUAUUCCCGAUGGGGGAACAACCGCCUUUUCUCUCCUCCAUCUUGUUCUGGUAACGCGUUGUUGCAUCGCCACUGCCGCUCCAGCGGCUGUUCCACCCGUUAUCGUCCCUGUACUCCACCAGGUGGGUGGUUGUGUUCAUAUUUUGAGCCAAGGUGCGCGUGUGUGUUCUUCUGCUGAUAGUGUGCAUGUUGUGUGUGUGUUGCUGGGCCGAACAUCACAAGAGAGCCAUCACCACCACCGUGAGGUGGUAGCUAUCAACCCCGACCACUGCCUACCACCACAAGGGUGGUUGUAUGUGUGUGUGUUCCUUUUAGAUAAUAUGUUGUAAAAUGUAUUGCUUUGGCCGGAUUAAUCAAGGAAAAACCCACCACCACCAUCGUGAGGUGGUGGCUGCCACCACCAGCUGCCGUGUUGGGUGACGGUGUGCAUUUCUAUGUGAUUGGAUUGGUAUUUGAGAUGCUUAGACAUGUUUUGGCCUAGAAUCAUAACCACCACCGCUAGGGGAGGCAAUUGAUGACACGACACGACAAAAAUACACGACACGAAACGAAAUUGAGACGAAAUUGAAGUUCGAAUUCGUGUUCGUGUUCGGGUCGUGUUUGUAUCAAGUGCAAAAAACACGACAUCGUGUCGUGUCAUGUCAUGUUCGUGUUCAAAAUUUGACAUGAAAUUGACAUGAUUUAAUAUUUUUUGUUGUGUUUUUCGUGUUAUGUAUGAAUAAAUAUUAAUUAAAUACAUUAAUUUUCAUUUCAUGGUAUUUUUGUCGUGUCGUGUUUGUCGUUUUUUAAUCAGUUCGUUUUCUUGUUAGUUAAAAAAACCCGAGAUCGUUUUCGUGUCGUGUUCGGGUUCGGGUUACAUAAAACCUUGUCGUGUUGUGUCAUGUCAGACAAAAACACGACACGAUGGCCCGAUUUGCCACCCCUAACCACAGCCACGAGGUGGUGGCUGCCGACGUGAGCCGUCGUUGACCAUAAUUACCCGAGGUGGUAGUAAAUGGUGCCCGACUUAUUUAGCACAAAUUGACCUAAAAACUUAACCAAUGGGCUAAUUGACAUGCGAUUGGGUUGGAAACCCUAAUUAGGGUUUAGAAAACCCUAAUUUUGGAUAUGUUAGUUUGGAAUUGUCGGGCCUCGCAUUUUGGACCAUUGGAUUGAAGUUAUGACUUAUGCUCGACCAUAUUGUAUGAUUGGUCUAGUGAAGAGAUGGACUUAAUGUAUUAAGUCCUUGAUGGGUUAAGUAAAAACACUCAACCCUAAUCGUCUUUUUAUGUGAAAACCCCUAAUUAGGUUUGGGUUCUUUUUGGGCCGUUUCUUGAACUAAGUUGAUGUGGUCCUUCGUGGGCCAAUUGGGAACAUGUUUACGAACUAACGAAAUUAUUAGGCUUUAGGAUAAGGCCCAUUAGAAAGGCGUGGGCCCAAUUUAGAAAACUGGGCCACAGGUGGGCCAUAAUUAGGCCUUGAUGAUUAUGAGAUAUUGGACCAUCGGAAUGCCAAGUGUUUGGACUAGAAUAAAUGGUUGGGCCCUAACGUAAUACCAUGUAGAGGUUUGGGCCCAAUUUGGAAAACCAGGCCAUAUGUUGGGCCUUUUUUGAUUAUUUGGCUUUUGGGCCUUCAGAGUGUGAGUUUGGGGCCUAGUUUUUGAACCAAGCUAGGUAAGGGGUAAAAUGGUCCUUUUACCCCAAGUGUGGAUUUAUGGUUAUGUAUUGAAACGCAAAUGGUUAAUUGGGUGUUGUUUUGAUAUGGACAGUUCGAGAGUCUAUUAUCCAGUAGCUAGAGUUUUAUCCAUGGGACUUCGGUAGUGUGAGGUGAGUCUCCUCACCAUACCAAUGGGUCGAAGGCACCAAGGCUGGCCCAUUUAUCUAGUUGUGAUGAGUAUUUCGAAUGUGAUAUCGAUACAUUAUGUAUUUAUGUGAAGACCAUGCGAGGGUUCCCAUGGCAAUUAGUUAUAUGUGGUAUGCUAGUUGAUUAUGUGUUAUGUGGUGUGCUGGUUGUCUUUAUGAUACUUGCAUGGAAGACCUCGGCGGGUUCCCGAGGCAAUUGGAUGUAAGACCAUGUGGGGGUUCCCAUGACAUUCUAGUGGGCUAAGACCAUGUGGCAGUUCCCAUGGCACCCGGUGUAAGACCUUGGAGGGUUUCCACAACAUCCGUAGUUAAGACCAUGUGGGGGUUCCCAUGGCAGUGGGCUAAGACCAUGUGGGGGUUCCCAUUGAACCCGGAGUAAGACCUUGGAGGGUUUCCAGGGCAUCCUUAUAUGUUUGUAUGUAUGGUUUAUAUGGCUUCUAUGAUAUUUCUUCUGAUCAGUUAAGACCAUGUGGGGGUUCCCAUGACACUCGGUGUAAGACCUUGGAGGGUUUCCACGACAUCCCUAUAUGUUUAUAUGCAUGGCUUAUGUGAUUGAUAUGGUUUAUGUGGUUAUGUGGAUAUGUGGGGUAUGCUCUGGGGAACUCACUAAGCUUCGUGCUUACAGUUUUGUUUAUGGUUUCGGGUAUCGUUGGUUUGGAAAGGAAGGGCUUGAAUUGAUCACAACACACACACUCGUGUUUUCUGCAUUAUGUGAAUUUGGGAUGUAACUCUGAUAAAUGUUUUAAUCAAGUAAUGUUUUUGAAUGGUUGGAUUAAGUAACAUUUGUGUUUCACUAUAAUGAAGAAUGAAAAUUUUACCCUGGAUUUUUGGGUCGUUACAAGUUGGUAUCAAAGCCUUGGUUUGAUGGAUUCAGACAUACUCUCGGCGUGUCUAAACUCAAACGGAGGAUCUUUAAAAUUUUCAAAAGAAAAAUGUUUUCAAGGAAAGAGUUUUCUAAGACACGAAAGGGUGUGGUGCAUGCAAUCGGCCGAGCUCAAGUAAGUUUUCCCCAUAAUACCCAUAUAUGCCAUAUGAUAUGACUUGAUUUAUGAAUAUGUGAAUCGCAUGCUAGUUAGGGAUAAUAGAGAUGCCUUUGUAUGUAUGAAUUAUGAUGUAUGAGUUGUUAGACUUUCAUGCUAGUGUUGAUUAGUCAACGAUAGAUUGGCCUGAUAUGUGAUGUUUGUAGCCUUGGGGAUAUUGGAUGCUAUGCUGGAAUGGGAAUGCCUACUGGUAUUAGUAACUGCUAAGUGCAUGCUUUAAAAAUUAUAUACGGUUAGGAUCUUAUAGCCUUAGAAUAAUUGAUUUGGCCUUAUUUCCUGUUCUUUGUCUGGUUAUGGUACUAGGGUAGAGUCUAUUAUUCGACAGUCUAAUAGAUCUUGUUCUGUGUAUAAUUUUCAUGCAUAAGGCAGCCGACAAUGAGGGUGGGUGUGGAUAGCAUGAGUUGUGGUAUGUGGGCUGAAUGUUCUAUGAUAGUUUCAUGGGUUGGAGAGUUACUGCACGAAUAUUGCUUGCUUUGUCCUUUGUGGAACUUUUGGAUGAUGGUAAUCAGCUACCAAGUGAAAUAUGACGAUAUUCAGGAGGAGGGUGGCUGGCAUCAUGAGGAUUUCUUUAAUAGUUGAUGGCAGGGUAAGGUCAGGAACCUAGGAAAGCCUAGGAUUACUCCAGUGAGUUUAGGGAGGCGAUUUGGCGAGGUUUGUAAUGCCCGUAGAUCCGGGCUAGUCAACUUAGAGAUAAUAGGGGUCGAAAAUGACUUUUCGACAAAAGAUUAUUUAGAAUAAAUAAUCUUAACCAUGUUGUAUAAUAUGUCUCAAGGGUUCCGUACAUAUAAAGAACGCCGAAAUCCGAAAAACCGGCACAACACCGGGAGACAUAAAUAGUGAAUUUACGAUGGAGGACUGUUUAGCCUUAGUGAUCUAAACCAAAAUUAUAAUAUACAUUAAACCGAGAACAUCCAUAAAAAGAACGCCCAAAUCAGACUUCGUAUGAGGAAGUUAUGAUUUUUCUAAGAUUCGGUUUAGCAGUGUACAGCCCGAAAUUCGAAUUUUAGUUCGAGCGGUUUUUGGCUUAUGCAACCUUAAUGAGAGUUGAAGAUCUCAUUAAUAGGAACUCAACGGUAAAAACAUAGACAAAAACGGAGUUCGUAUGUAGAAGUUAUGAAUUUUACGUAGACAUUUAACAGUAUCAUAUUCAGCAGGUUCGUAGCAGGCUUCAAACCGCACAGAGUCGGCAGAAAAGUUACGCCGACAAGCGUCGAUCCGACCUGGAUUUCUAGGUUGGGGAUAUGGUUCUCCUGAAGGUGUCGCCUUGGAAAGGCAACAUUCGAUUCAGGAAGCGGGGCAAGUUGGGCCCGAGAUUUAUCGGACCGUUCAGGGUUGUAGCCCGGGUGGGCAAGGUGGCGUAUAGGCUGGAUCUGCCAGUCGAGCUCAGCCAGAUCCACAACACUUUCCAUGUUUCUCAGCUGCGGAAGUGCCUAGUGGACGAUUCAGCAGUAGUGCCGAUAGAGGAUAUACAGGUUGAUGACAGCCUGAAUUACAUUGAGCGCCCAGUCGCAAUCCUCGACAGGAAGUCGAAGGAUUUGAGGAACAAGCGAGUGGAACUCGUGAAGGUGCAAUGGCAGCACCGGAAGGGAUCGGAGUGGACUUGGGAGCCGGUGGAAGAGAUGAUGGAGCAUUACCCCGAGCUGUUUCAGGAUCGAGCAGCAGACUUCGAGGACGAAGUCUAAAAUAAGUGGGGGAGAUUUGUAGCACCUGGUUCCUGGUAUGUAAGAUUUAUCUGAGUAUUUUGUAUUUUGGCCUUGGACUCGGCGAGUUGGAGGCCCGACUCGCCGAGUAGAGACGAGACUUGGGACGCGGUUAAGUUGGCGACUCGGCGAGUCCGCGCUGUCUGAUGAAACCCUAAUUUCCAAGGGUUUGCACCCUAUUUAAAUGACCAUUUGCGCCCCAACUCCGCCCCAUUCACCCUCAGAGCCCUACCCCUCGUUCAAAGCUUUAUUCCUUGAGAGUUUGAAGCAUUCCUAGUGUGUUUUGAAGUUUUGGAGAAGGGAGAAGAGUGGAUCAAGAAGAAGAAGAGGAGGU